GUAGGGUGGCAAGCGUUGUCCGGAAUUAUUGGGCGUAAAGCGCGCGCAGGCGGUCCUUUAAGUCUGAUGUGAAAGCCCACGGCUCAACCGUGGAGGGUCAUUGGAAACUGGGGGACUUGAGUACAGAAGAGGAAAGCGGAAUUCCAAGUGUAGCGGUGAAAUGCGUAGAGAUUUGGAGGAACACCGGUGGCGAAGGCGGCUUUCUGGUCCGUAACUGACGCUGAGGCGCGAAAGCGUGGGGAGCAAACAGGAUUAGAUACCCUGGUAGUCCACGCCGUAAACGAUGAGUGCUAAGUGUUAGGGGGUUUCCGCCCCUUAGUGCUGCAGCUAACGCAUUAAGCACUCCGCCUGGGGAGUACGGCCGCAAAGGCUG
rnacentral:rRNA from 1 species